AUUCUUUAAUAAACUGAUAAUAGGAAAUUUAUUUUUCAACAGGAGAUGUGGGACAUAUGGAUUUGGGAUAUGAAUUCAUUUGAAAAACCACUUUGGGGUUAUGAACGUGAUUGCUGAUGAACCUGAAUUGGAAAAUUUUUCAUGAUCUUUGUAUAUUUAUAUAUAUAUAUAUUUUAAAAUUUUGCAUUUGACUUAAAGUGCCAUGAGAAAAUUUGCAUAUUGCAAGGUGGUCCUAGCCACCUCCUUGAUUUGGGUACUCUUGGAUAUGUUCCUGCUGCUUUACUUCAGUGAAUGCAACAAAUGUGAUGAAAAAAAGGAGAGAGGACUUCCUGCUGGGGAUGUUCUAGAGCCAGUACAAAAGCCUCAUGAAGGUCCUGGAGAAAUGGGGAAACCAGUCGUCAUUCCUAAAGAGGAUCAAGAAAAGAUGAAAGAGAUGUUUAAAAUCAACCAGUUCAAUUUAAUGGCAAGUGAGAUGAUUGCACUCAACAGAUCUUUACCAGAUGUUAGGCUAGAAGGGUGUAAAACAAAGGUGUAUCCAGAUAAUCUUCCUACAACAAGUGUGGUGAUUGUUUUCCACAAUGAGGCUUGGAGCACACUUCUGCGAACUGUCCAUAGUGUCAUUAAUCGCUCACCAAGACACAUGCUAGAAGAAAUUGUUCUAGUAGAUGAUGCCAGUGAAAGAGACUUUUUGAAAAGACCUCUAGAGAGUUAUGUGAAAAAAUUAAAAGUACCAGUUCAUGUAAUUCGAAUGGAACAACGUUCUGGAUUGAUCAGAGCCAGAUUAAAAGGAGCUGCUGUGUCUAAAGGCCAAGUGAUCACUUUCUUAGAUGCUCACUGUGAGUGCACAGUGGGAUGGCUGGAGCCUCUCUUAGCAAGGAUCAAACAAGACAGGAAAACGGUGGUGUGUCCCAUCAUUGAUGUGAUCAGUGAUGAUACCUUUGAGUACAUGGCAGGUUCUGAUAUGACCUAUGGCGGAUUCAACUGGAAGCUCAAUUUUCGCUGGUAUCCUGUUCCCCAAAGAGAAAUGGACAGAAGGAAAGGUGAUCGGACUCUUCCUGUCAGGACGCCCACAAUGGCAGGAGGCCUUUUUUCAAUAGACAGAGAUUACUUUCAGGAAAUUGGAACAUAUGAUGCUGGAAUGGAUAUUUGGGGAGGAGAAAACCUAGAAAUUUCCUUUAGGAUUUGGCAAUGUGGAGGAACUUUGGAGAUCGUUACUUGCUCACAUGUUGGACAUGUGUUUCGGAAAGCUACACCUUACACGUUUCCAGGAGGCACAGGACAGAUUAUUAAUAAAAAUAACAGACGACUCGCAGAAGUGUGGAUGGAUGAAUUCAAGAAUUUCUUCUAUAUAAUUUCUCCAGGUGUUACGAAGGUAGAUUACGGAGAUAUAGCAUCAAGACUUGGUCUAAGACACAAACUCCAAUGCAAACCUUUCUCUUGGUACCUAGAGAAUAUUUAUCCUGAUUCACAGAUUCCACGUCACUAUUUCUCUUUGGGAGAGAUACGAAAUAUGGAAACAAAUCAGUGUCUGGAUAACAUGGCUAGAAAGGAGAAUGAAAAAGUUGGCAUUUUUAACUGUCAUGGUAUGGGAGGUAAUCAGGUUUUCUCUUAUACAGCCAACAAAGAAAUCAGAACGGAUGAUCUCUGCUUGGAUGUCUCCAAACUCAAUGGCCCAGUCACAAUGCUCAAAUGCCACCACCUAAAAGGCAACCAACUUUGGGAGUAUGAUCCCAUGAAAUUAACCCUGCAGCAUGUGAACAGUAAUCAGUGCCUGGAUAAAGCUACAGAAGAGGAUAGCCAGGUGCCCAGCAUCAGAGACUGCAAUGGAAGCCGGUCACAGCAAUGGCUUCUUCGAAACGUCACCCUUCCAGAAAUAUUCUGAGACCAAAUUUACACAAAAAGAGAAAAAUAAGGAUUGACUGGGCUACCUCAGCAUACAUUUCUGCCACAUUCUUAAGUAGCAAAAAAGGAACAGUGCUUCCUCCUGCAGGAUGUAAGGUUUAUCAGCCAUUAAAACUUAGACUUGCUUCUCACUAGCUGUGAACCAGCCUUCCUGUCCAAGGACGAGCAACUACAAUGUAGCGAGACUGUGCACACUGAUGUUUACAAGAUUGAAAGAGUCUUUAGUCAAGAAUCAUUGUAAAGACUAUUCGAAAACGAAACAACAAAAUGUGCUUUCCGGAAAGCUGCACCUUCUAGGGUUUGCUUGCACAUCAGUAAUUUCUGCUGAUCGUGCUGUCAUGAUGAAGAUUUCCAAGAUUUUUUUCUGACUAGAACUGGUAGCCAGUAUAUUAAAUAUUGAUAUAAAGAUAUAUGAAAAGAACUGGAACCAGAUUCAGAAUCAUGGAAACAUUUUUACAAUAAAAAACUAUAUUAAACAGGGUUUAAAGGAAAUUAAAACAGAACUAUGAGAAGUACAAUUUGUUAUAGUAUAGAAUCAAAUUUCUAUAUAGAUUUUAUACCUCCGUGGGGAAAAAGAACUGAUUCCAAUGACAUUUAUUUUGUUUUCAUCUGUGAUAGUCAUGGAUGCUUUUUUAUUUCUCCUUGGGGUGCUGAAACUGAGCUGGGGGAAAAGGCUCUUUGAACGUAGUUUUAAUUGCUUUCUACAAUUUUUAAAAUUUGGUUUGUGGGCUGUUGGAAUUGUAAUUAAUUGCCUUCCAAAAAUGGAGAUUUAAAAUAAUGUCUGGUCUCACUGAACAGUUAGGUAUCUCAGUUGCUCUUGGGUCAACUGGCUUAUAGACUUUCACACACACACACACACACACACAUAGAUUUUCAACAUCUUAACUUGAUUCAGUUGAUUAUGCUUAAUACCCAAGAUUCAUACUACUGUACUACAGAUUUGUUUUCACAGCAAUAAAUCUUCAGUUUUUGGUUUAUUAUUCCACUCAACAAAAGGCCUGCAGAGGUGAUUUAUUACUUGGGUAUUUGGAGAUGAUACAUUUGAUGUUUUUUUUUUUUUUUGAAAACUGUUUUCACUCCAUACUCAGAUGUGCUUCAUUGUCAAGUGCAUAUUUAGAUUAGAUUCUUGAAUUGUAAUGUUGAUCUGCUGCUUUUUUAAAAAAAAUAAAAUUUGACUGAAAAUGUUUAAUUGGCAUUUUUCAAUGAGUUAGCCAAAGAAGUGCAGCUGUUAUUCCAUAUUAUUAACCACGCACUUCUCCCCUAAAUUUAUAUAAAUCAGUUUUUUUCCUGAUUUCUAAUACUGCAAAAAAUAACCUGAGUAUCGACUAAAAGUUGAUUGUUUUAAUCUCACUGUGACAUUUUUCCUGAUAUAUAAAGCAGUCCAUUGGCAAAAGUGCAUAUAUUUCCCUUUCUAUUUGUAAGAUUAUAUUUAAAUGAUAUUCUUUUCUUUGAUUAUCAAAGACUUUCACUGCAGGCAAUGCUAUUUCUUGUGCCUAAGAAUGUUUCUGAAAGUUGCAUCACUAAUGAUACUUGCCAAGUUGAGUGUACAGAAAAAUCUCAUAUCCUAUUCAAGUUAAUAUCAAGCACAUGUGGAUGCUUUAAGGUGAGUCUGUAGUACAGAAUGCAAAAUUUUGUCCCCAGGAAAUUUGAAAUUAAGCAGCGCUGGAUGAAAUUUUGUUCCUGCUCCAUGAGCUGUGUUAAUUCUAUCUUCAGUAGGCCUAAUGCUUGAGUAAGUCUAAUCACUAAAUUAUUUUCAUGGUCAGAAUUUCAGGUUUUGUACUCUAGCAUAGCUUGGUUUUCUUCCUUACUGUAAGAAAGCUUAAUAGUGGUGUGAUUUAAGGUUUUGUUUUGUUUUUUGUUUUUUAAGAGGGGGAUGUGAGUGAUUUAUAAUUCGUGGGUACUUUUAGAACCUGAUAGAUAAUCCCAUUGCCUUUAUUUUUCUAAUUAAAGAAUUCCUAAAUACUUUGGAAAUAUAAAAUAUUCCUGAAAAA